rnacentral:rRNA from 1 species
GGUUAAGUGACUAAGCGUAUACGGUGGAUGCCUAGGCAGUUAGAGGCGAUGAAGGACGUGUAAGUCUGCGAAAAGCUGUGGUGAGUUGACAAAACGCAUUUGAGCCACAGAUGUCCGAAUGGGGAAACCCACCGCUUCGGCGGUAUCAUUAAGUGAAUACAUAGCUUAAUGAGGCAAACGAGGGGAACUGAAACAUCUAAGUACCCUUAGGAAAAGAAAUCAACCGAGAUUCCCCAAGUAGCGGCGAGCGAACGGGGAGCAGCCGAGUAAUUAUGAAGUAGUGGAAUGAGUUGGAAAGCUCAGCGAUACAGGGUGAUAGCCCCGUACAUGAAGCGUCAUAGUUGCCAUAUUAAGUAGGUCGGGACACGUGUUAUCUUGACUGAAGAUGGGGGGACCAUCCUCCAAGGCUAAAUACUCCUAACUGACCGAUAGUGAACUAGUACCGUGAGGGAAAGGCGAAAA